UGCGAACGGACGAGUCUGAUGACGAGGAAAAUAACUCAGAUUAUGAUUGGAAGCGUGCCAACUACGCUACAUCGAAACCAACUUAGAUUACCGAAACGUUCGGAAUCUCCUAUCCGGCCAAUGAUAACUACGUCGGCCGAAAGGACACGAAGCCCAAUGAAUCAUCGAGAUGGCAGUUCGGGGGGUGCCAGGAGAAGUCCUGCAGCCGCUGAGCAGCCGAGAAGAAAACGUAAAAGUGUGUUAUCUUCCGAAAUAGUAUCGACGGAACCUCGGAGAUCCAAAAGAGUGCGGAAGGAAAAUAUUGACAAAGACUAUGUUUAUAACUGAAUUUGUUACAUGUAUUUUAGAACAAAUGUUCUUUCGAAGUUAAUUGAAUCAAAAAUUCAGUCGAAUUAUAUUGAAUGGUACACUCAAACAUCGAAUUCUGAAUUGGUGAUUAUUAUAUAAGAAGAAGAAGCUAAGAUUUCAUUUUAAGUGUAUUUUAGUUCUUAAGGAGGAAGAGCUGUGGUAUCCCUGUCCAAUGACAGAGAUGGCGAACAAAGGUUCGAUCUCACUCAAAUCACAUGUAAUGCGUGUAACGCCAUCAAACGAUUUAAAACUGAAAAUAAACACGUAGAUGAGGUCUUUCUACGUU
rnacentral:lncRNA from 1 species